CCAAUAGCGUAUAUUAAAGUUGUUGCAGUUAAAAAGCUCGUAGUUGAAUUUCGGGGUCAGUAGAUUGGUCGUGCCACCGGUACGUACUGGUCUCACUGAUUCCUCCUUCCUGAUGAGCUGUAAUGCCAUUAAUUUGGUGUUGCAGGGAAUCUGGACUGUUACUUUGAAAAAAUUAGAGUGUUUAAAGCAGGCUAACGCUUGAAUACAUUAGCAUGGAAUAAUGAAAUAGGACGUUCGAUCCUAUUUUGUUGGUUUCUAGGAUUGACGUAAUGAUUAAUAGGGAUAGUUGGGGGCAUUAGUAUUCAAUUGUCAGAGGUGAAAUUCUUGGAUUUAUUGAAGACUAACUACUGCGAAAGCAUUUGCCAAGGAUGUUUUCAUUAAUCAAGAACGAAAGUUAGGGGAUCGAAGACGAUCAGAUACCGUCGUAGUCUUAACCAUAAACUAUGCCGACUAGGGAUCGGAUGAUGUUAAUUUUUUAAUGACUCAUUCGGCGCCUUACG
rnacentral:rRNA from 1 species